rnacentral:siRNA from 1 species
AGCUGAAAUCACUUAUUCCGCCA